AAAUAUUGGGACAUAUAAAAAAAGACAACUCUGUUCCGCAGAGUAGCUGUUGACAUUAUAGUUGCACAGGCACUUUGUUGACUCUAGAGAACCUCGGGCCAAUCGCACAUCCCCGUGGCGGUGACUUUGCAUGCGGAUGUCAUCCAUAUCAACUUUUGAUGCCAGUUUCUGCGCCUACCAUGGUGACCAUGGGUAACAGGGAAUCAGGGUUCCAUUCCGUACAGGGACCCUGAGAAACCAUAUGCAAGGAAGGCAGUAGGCGUGCAAAUGACCCACUCCCGACGCAGGAAAGUAGUGAU